rnacentral:rRNA from 1 species
GGGGUCAAAUCCUUUGCAGACGACUUAGCUGUGCGAAACGGUCCUGUAAGCAGUAGAGUAGCCUUGUUGUUACGAUCUGCUGAGGGUAAGCCGUCCUUCGCCUCGAUUUCCCCAAUGGGUUCUCCGGAUUUCUGGAGACUUGUAGGGGUUGUGGGAUUUUUGAUGUGUCGUCUCCGGACGGGCGGUGCAGGGUAGUCGAGUUAGACUUGGUGGAAUUCCGUCGAUAGGAGUUCCGUCGAGUCUGGUCGGCUGUGUGUUGGACGGUGCAGGGUAGGCUGCUUGGACAUGGUCGGUUCGAGGAUCGAUUCGAGGGCCGGCCUGUCGAUGAUGUGUGAUGUAUGCGGUCUAGGGUAGGCUGGUUUGUCUUGGUUCAAUUUGAUGUCGGCUCCCGUGCAGGCCAGAGUGAGGGGGGUCCAGGGUAGGUACAGGGUAGGCAGCUUAGAUUUGGUCGAUCUGGAGGUCGAUUCUCCGGCUGGCGGAUCUGACACUGUCGAAACGAGAUGCGAGCGGUGUAGGGUAGGCUAGUUUCGCC